AAAGUGCAAUCUGCUACUUCAAGCUUUUGGUUCAGUAGUAUACUAGUGCUUGCAAUGAAACACUGUUGCAACUGCUUACAAGUUAAUUAUUUAUAAGGUUUAAAAAGAUCAAGAGUCCAACUACAGCAAACACCAACCUCCAUGACGGUGUUGAAAUUUUUUGACCAGUAAAACAUCAAUAUUUGAACUUCUGUUAAUUCUCAGUAAGAUCUUCUGCAGUUGUCUGACAGAAUAUGGUCAGACUGGUCUUCCAGAACAUGCACUAGGAUCUUGGAUGUGAGAACAAGGUGGAAUUGACUGUUUCUGGCAAUUCAUGGUGGAGCGAUUCCUGGAGCAGUUUCCUGCCAUCCAGGCCACCUCAAUGGACCCUCAGCUUAAGAUGGAGAAGGAUGGGUAAAGAACACUGUGAUUAAACAGUCCAUCUGUAGUAACAUCAGUGAGGCCAAAGAUCUCUGCCCUUGAGGAGCUGUUUGCUGACAUGACUUGGCAGUUCAAGCAAGAACACAGACCACUAUAAGCAGCAAUACAGAGAAGAUUCAGACAGAGAUAAACCACUACAGAUUACUUCCAUCUACACUGUUUUGGUAUCAAACAUUUUUGAACGAUAAACAGCCAUACUCAUAUGUGUAUGUGGUUACUAAAUAAAGGAAACCGUUAACAAGCCUAAAACUCACCCGAGCUACUUUGAGGAAAUGGAGAAAGCUCCAUUGUCCGAAUAUCAUCCAGACUUCUGUUAAGUUGCUCAAUUUUCUCAAAAGAUAGUAACUAUGCACUUCUCUGUGCAUUUCUUGAGCAACUGUCAAUCACACAAAACUCUCGAUCACCACAAUUUCCCUGACAUACACUCGGUAAGCAGCAAUGGCAGAACGAAAAGACCUUUUAGCUCUGCAAGAUAAAAAAAGGUUUGUUUGGCUUUUAUACAAGAAUGGCUAACUGAAAUGUUUCAAGCAGAUACAACUGAUGGUCCUGGUAAAUCAGUUAAAUUGUCUGAAAUAUUCAGCUACGGAGCUAGUCGGAUAAAUGUACCAAAUUUUGCUCCAGAGCUAAAAUCAAAGGACAGUUUUCUACCGGGAAAAUGUGGAUAGAGUGGAAACUUGACUACCUAAAGUGCCACUUAACACAAAAAUGUCACAGUGAUGCUGUAAAGGUCUGAUUUACCAGAUUAGCCAGCUUUGAUUAACCAGCUUUGACUUUGCAUUGCACCAAUAGGAACAAAAAUCAAAGCCUGAGCAAAUCAAAAUACUGAUUGAUAAUGCUCCUGGCAAAAUAUGUUAGCCUUCCCGACUUCUGGAGAAGUAAAAACUAUGCAUUUGAAUUUGUGGAAGGAAUUAAUGCAGUUGAGAGUGUGAGAAAUGCCCAAGUUCACAUGCUGUGAUAGUCAACGAAAGCACAGACAUUACAGUGCGUAAAAUCCUGGUUCUUUACAUUAAAACCAAGUCACUUCCAAAACUCGGUUUGCCAGGAUUCCUUCUACAUGAAUCACAAUGUUAUUUGCAGAAAAUGGUAAUGUUAACCUUCGAGGGUGUAUCUGUCAUGUUAGGUAAACCAAAUGGAGUCACUACAAAACUGAUGAA